GUUUGUAAGAUACCCAAUCUGGGAUAAUUGUGAUGAUGGGCACAAAACUUGGGGCCUCCCUAUGAACAAAUUCCCUACAUGU
rnacentral:snoRNA from 1 species